GAUGAACGCUGGCGGCAGGCCUAAUACAUGCAAGUCGAACGGUGUCUUCGGACAUAGUGGCGCACGGGUGCGUAACACGUAUGCAACCUACCUUACAUUGGGGGAUAGCCUUUCGAAAGGGAGAUUAAUACCGCAUAAGACAGUAGCUGGGCAUCCAGCAGCUGUUAAAGAUUUAUCGAUGUAAGCUGGGCAUGCGUCCAAUUAGCUAGUUGGUGAGGUAACGGCUCACCAAGGCAAUGAUUGGUAGGGGAACUGAGAGGUCAAUCCCCCACACUGGCACUGAGAUACGGGCCAGACUCCUACGGGAGGCAGCAGUAGGGAAUAUUGGGCAAUGGACGCAAGUCUGACCCAGCCAUGCCGCGUGCAGGAUGAAGGCGUUAUGCGUUGUAAACUGCUUUUAUACAGGAAGAAACGACUCUUGCGAGAGGCAUUGACGGUACUGUAUGAAUAAGCACCGGCUAACUCCGUGCCAGCCGCCGCUGUAAGAC
rnacentral:rRNA from 1 species